UUUAGUGAGACUUUAGAGAUCUUUUUUUUUUUGAGCAAAGACUUUAGAGAUCAUAUUUGCAGACAAAAAGUGGAUCAAAAUUCAUGCUACUUGCAGGAAGAACAAUUUGAAAUCGUUGGGGGAUCAAUGCUAAAAUAAAAAAAAUAUUUUUAUUUAAACAAAUUAGUGUAUAAUUAUUUGGGUCCGUACGAAUACGAAAUGUGUAGAAAUCUAUUACCUGAUUUACGUUAGAUACAGUUUCAUGCCAUCACAGUAUUAUCCUAAUCUCCUUAUUUGUUUUCCUUACGUAUAUAAUCUUUAAAAAAAAUCAUAAGAUGGUAUUAUCCUAAUCUCCUUAUUUGUUUUCCUAACAAUGAAUGGAUAUUAAAUAGUAUGAUGGUAUUCAUCCGAACACUUAUCUUAAAAUGAUUGUUUGUUGUGCACCAGCGUGGAUGACAACAUUUUGUAAUACCUGAAAAUGCUCACAAUAUAAAAUCAAAUUAUUUUUUUGUACUUAUAAAGGACAGUCUAUAUUAUAUUGUAAUAGUAAAUAAUUGUGAGUAAAAUAUAUAAUGUUUAGUUCAAAAAACACCCGUGAUAUAUUUUACCUCGAUAGAUGUUUAAUUAUAUGUAUUUUUCAUUUGUGGAGAUGUUUGUGAACUAAAAACAAAUCACAUUAAUAAUAAUAAGGAGAAAAAUAUAUAAUAAAUAAGAAUGAAGAUACGAAAUAU